GAUGAACGCUGGCGGCGUGCCUAAUACAUGCAAGUCGAGCGAACGGACGAGAAGCUUGCUUCUCUGAUGUUAGCGGCGGACGGGUGAGUAACACGUGGAUAACCUACCUAUAAGACUGGGAUAACUUCGGGAAACCGGAGCUAAUACCGGAUAAUAUUUUGAACCGCAUGGUUCAAAAGUGAAAGACGGUCUUGCUGUCACUUAUAGAUGGAUCCGCGCUGCAUUAGCUAGUUGGUAAGGUAACGGCUUACCAAGGCAACGAUGCAUAGCCGACCUGAGAGGGUGACCGGCACACCGGAAACUGGGCACCGGCCCAGCCUCCAAGGGAAGGAAGCGGUGGGAAACUUUCCGAAAGGGGCGAAAGCCUGACGGAGCAACGCCGCGGGAGUGAGGAGGUCUUCGGAUCGUAAAACUCUGUUAUUAGGGAAGAACAUAUGUGUAAGUAACUGUGCACAUCUUGACGGUACCUAAUCAGAAAGCCACGGCUAACUACGUG
rnacentral:rRNA from 1 species